UUGGGGAAUAACUCAGGGAAACUUGAGCUAAUACCGCAUAAUGCAGCGGCUCGACAUCGAGACAGUUGUUAAAGCGGGGGAUUGGAGCAAUCCGACCUCGCGCCUAAAGAGAAGCCUGCGGCAGAUUAGCUAGUUGGUAAGGUAAUGGCUUACCAAGGCUACGAUCUGUAACCGGCCUGAGAGGGCGGUCGGUCACACUGACACUGACAUACGGGUCAG
rnacentral:rRNA from 1 species